rnacentral:rRNA from 1 species
GAUGAACGCUGGCGGCGUGCCUAAUACAUGCAAGUCGAGCGAACGGACGAGAAGCUUGCUUCUCUGAUGUUAGCGGCGGACGGGUGAGUAACACGUGGAUAACCUACCUAUAAGACUGGGAUAACUUCGGGAAACCGGAGCUAAUACCGGAUAAUAUUUUGAACCGCAUGGUUCAAAAGUGAAAGAUGGUCUUGCUGUCACUUAUAGAUGGAUCCGCGCUGCAUUAGCUAGUUGGUAAGGUAACGGCUUACCAAGGCAACGAUGCAUAGCCGACCUGAGAGGGUGAUCGGCCACCCUGGAACUGAGACACGGUCCAGACUCCUACGGGAGGCAGCAGUAGGGAAUCUUCCGCAAUGGGCGAAAGCCUGACGGAGCAACGCCGCGUGAGUGAUGAAGGUCUUCGGAUCGUAAAACUCUGUUAUUAGGGAAGAACAUAUGUGUAAGUAACUGUGCACAUCUUGACGGUACCUAAUCAGAAAGCCACGGCUAACUACGUG